GUAGGUGGCAAGCGUUGUCCGGAAUUAUUGGGCGUAAAGCGCGCGCAGGCGGUUCUUUAAGUCUGAUGUGAAAGCCCACGGCUCAACCGUGGAGGGUCGUUGGAAACUGGAGAACUUGAGUACAGAAGAGGAAAGCGGAAUUCCACGUGUAGCGGUGAAAUGCGUAGAGAUGUGGAGGAACACCAGUGGCGAAGGCGGCUUUCUGGUCUGUAACUGACGCUGAGGCGCGAAAGCGUGGGGAGCAAACAGGGAUUAGAUACCCUGGUAGUCCACGCCGUAAACGAUGAGUGCUAAGUGUUAGGGGGUUUCCGCCCCCUUAGUGCUGCAGCUAACGCAUUAAGCACUCCGCCUGGGGAGUACGGCCGCAAGGCUG
rnacentral:rRNA from 1 species